UACGAAGGGGGCUAGCGUUGCUCGGAAUCACUGGGCGUAAAGCGCACGUAGGCGGACUCUUAAGUCAGGGGUGAAAUCCUGGAGCUCAACUCCAGAACUGCCUUUGAUACUGGGAGCCUUGAGUUCGGGAGAGGUGAGUGGAACUGCGAGUGUAGAGGUGAAAUUCGUAGAUAUUCGCAAGAACACCAGUGGCGAAGGCGGCUCACUGGCCCGAUACUGACGCUGAGGUGCGAAAGCGUGGGGAGCGAACAGG
rnacentral:rRNA from 1 species